UAAGUUACAACUCUUACAUUAUCGCAACUUGUAAAUAAUAUGGUAUAUACAAAUAUAUGUUGGUAACUAUUAACUAUAUAUAUAUAUAUCUAAGUGGUUUAUAAGCCCCUCUUUCAUUGAAUGGUAUUGGAGACUUAAUAAAUAUCCAAUUUAUCAAUUUUAACCAUUAAGAGUUUUGACCAACAUCCUUAAUUUAUUCUUUUUUUCCAUGAGUACACAGUACAAGAAGAGGAUUGAGAUCAUAGCGCCCCUCCACGCUGAAUUGUCUCAGAAGCCAUCGAGGAGCAGAUGGUGUCUCGAGAAAGACGGUUUACCAUGUCUCAAUGCAUGGACACGCGAAUAGGACAAUGUUUUUCUUAUCUUAGCAAUUGAUCAAAAGUUAUGUCUUCUACAACAUUGUCCAUAGAAAAAUUGGGAAAAAAUGACUCUUAACCUCUCAAAAUUUGCACAAUAGUUAUAAGUAAAAUAUUGGCACGGUAUCUACAUUAUCUUAAACAAAGCCAAAUACAGAGAAAGGGAUGUUUUUCAAUCAAAAUUUUAUUGUGACCGUAUUUUGAAACUGUGUAACAUACUUUUUAAUAUUUUCCUCAAUCAAACCUAGUUUGCGAAACAUCAAAACGUUGAAACAAGUUCAAUUUAAUUGAAUAGGUGCAUAUCUAUAGGAUGCAAAGCAAGCGAAGAAAUAAAGAUGUGUACACACACACUUCACAGACAUACGUUUUUAUGACUUGCAUAACAUAGUUAGUGGAUGUGUUGUAUAUUGUAGAGUUGGGUAGAGUGAAAAUUUUCGAGUUCGAGUAAGGUGAUGUUACACAUAUUUUACUUCGAGUUUGUUUUUAAGAAAUGUUAUAAAUAAGAGAAGUUAAUUUCUUAUUAUUAUAUAACGUUAAUAACAUAAAGAUAUUCCGUGGCUCUGCAGUUAAAAGAGUCAGUUAUAAACGUUAAGUGUGUGGCUGGUCAUGGAAGUACAUAGUUAAAAGGUAUAUAGAAUAGAAGGUAUGAUCUUCAGAACAAUUUUUGAUUUGUUGUUGAGAGGAUCAGCUGACGUGUGAUGUAAUUGGAUCAUAAAAUCAUAUAUUUUACAAAAUUACAUGACAUAAAAUUAAAAAGAAUUGGAUAGCCACACGUUUUCCUCUUCGAAAAAUAUUCCAGAAUUUCUCACUCGUAAAAUGGAUACUCGUAAAAGAAGUGCUGGGGCUACUUUCUUUUCCUCUCUAAUUGAUUCAAAUCAGGAAUAUUCUUACCAUCGAUUUCCUAAAAAUGACGAUAUCCCUUGCAUAUGGAUUCAAGCUGGCAGAUUCAUAGGCAGGAUUCAUAUAAUGUUACUACUGCCAGAAUUUGUUCUGGAUAUUUUGAAAAUGAUUGGUUUGUUAGAAAUUUCAAGGCUGAACUAAUAAACUAUGAAAGGAGUUCAAGGUUCGGAAAAGCUUCAACUCCAAAGGGUUUCCCAACCUUCACUGAGUUCCCGACAAUCCUGUAAGAAUAAUUGAGGCUGAUACAUCCAAAAUUAGAAGAAAAGAAAGGCUCUUAUCUAUAAAUAGAAAUAAAAGGCUUGAUAAAUUGAUAAUGAUCAUUCUGAAGAAUCCCCUUUACCUGGGGCUACGGAAGUUGAAUAUUCAUUGGAAAAAAUAUAUAAAAAUGUGUCAGUUCAUGCUAAUAUUGAGGGGGAUGAAUAUCUUAAUUGGAGGAAAGAGAAGAAAAAAUCACUUUUCAAAAGAAGUAGGAUUCAAAAAAGAGUUAUUUCUCUUCAAAAAAAAAAAAAAAAGUAUGUACCACAAGCUAUCAAAGAACAGGAAUCACAAGCCUUAAAAUAUAAGUUAAAGCAGCAAUUUUCAUCAAGCCAAGUCAAUGUGUUAAUGAACAAAAAGAUGAAUGCAAGGCCAAAAAACUGGGCUGAAGAAGACAUUCAUUUCCCCUCCCUUUGCCAUCUUUAUCAACUUUGAGAAAAUGGAAUUCAAAAUUUAAAUGGGCCCCUGGAAUUCAGCAAAAACUUUUAGAUGUUUUGAUGACAGAAAUGAUGGAAUUUUCUCUA
rnacentral:lncRNA from 1 species